rnacentral:rRNA from 1 species
UACGAAGGGGGCUAGCGUUGCUCGGAAUCACUGGGCGUAAAGCGCACGUAGGCGGAUCUUUAAGUCAGGGGUGAAAUCCCAAGGCUCAACCUUGGAACUGCCUUUGAUACUGGGGAUCUCGAGUCCGGAAGAGGUUGGUGGAACUGCGAGUGUAGAGGUGAAAUUCGUAGAUAUUCGCAAGAACACCAGUGGCGAAGGCGGCCAACUGGUCCGGUACUGACGCUGAGGAGCGAAAGCCAGGGGAGCAAAGCGGG